AAAACUUCGGUGUAUGCGAUUCUGUUUGUUAGGUGUCCAAAUAGAUCACCAACUCUACAGUACCUCGAGAGGAAAGGCAAGUCAUCCAGGAUGAACAGAGUACAUCAUAUUUGAGUGACAGCAACUUUUACUCAUCUCUUUUUUCAGUAUUAUAAUCAAAAUGUGACCACCAUCAGGCUCCAGUAUGACCAGUCUAUAGCCUUGAAGUGACUGAGCAGAAGACAUGAUGCACACACGGGAUGGAGGUAAAUAUGGAUGCUGCACAUGCGAGCAUGUGUGGAUCAGUUUUGAAGCUGCUUUGGAAUCUGAGCCAACAAAAAGAUCAUGGUAUUGUUUUGUUGAUUGUUUAUGUCUGAUCUUGCCGUGUCCUGCCUACUCUGGUGCAAAAUUGUGACGACUGUUUCACUUCAAAAUUGUAAAAGUUGGA